rnacentral:sRNA from 1 species
CCGCCUAUAGCGCCGAGCUCCAUCCAGUAGGCGGGGACGUCGACAACACAUGGAUGGAGGCGGGGGACCCACCGGUCCACCCGGACCGAACUGGAGCCGUUCGCGGUUCCUUGGGGUGAAGCCACGUCGUUUCCCCGCGGAUGACGACGAUGGCCGGGCAACCUCUCCAGCCCGAACCCGACAGCUGACCUCGUGGGCGCCUACAGGGAGGAAUU